rnacentral:rRNA from 1 species
UGAAUACGAGACGCUAAGGCGUCGAAGUAGUGUAUGUCAUACUUCCAAGAAAAGCUUGCACUGUCAUAGAUAAAAAACGCCUGUACCAUAACCGACACAGGUGGGUAGGUAGAGUAUACUAAGGGGCGCGAGAUAACUCUCUCUAAGGAACUCGGCAAAAUAACUCCGUAACUUCGGGAGAAGGAGUGCCUUAUUCUUAAGGUUGCAAUAACAAGAUCCAAGCAACUGUUUAUCAAAAACACAGGUCUCCGCUAAGUCGUAAGACGAUGUAUGGGGGCUGACGCCUGCCCAGUGCCAGAAGGUUAAAGAAGCUGGUUAGCAUUUGCGAAGCUAGUAACUGAAGCCCUGGUGAACGGCGGCCGUAACAAUAACGGUCCUAAGGUAGCGAAAUUCCUUGUCGGGUAAGUUCCGACCCGCACGAAAGGCGUAAUGAUUUGGAUACUGUCUCGGAGAGGGGCUCGGUGAAAUAGACUUGUCUGUGAAGAUGCGGACUACCUGCACCAGGACAGAAAGACCCUAUGAAGCUUUACUGUAACUUGAAAUUGAAAUUGGACUUUAUUCGCGCAGUAUAGGUGGGAGGCGUUGAUUAUAAUCUUGCGGGAUUAUUGGAGCCAUUAGUGAGAUACCACUCUUGUAAUGUUAGAUUUCUAACUUUGAAUCAUUAUCUGGUCAAAGAACAGUUUCAGGCGGGCAGUUUGACUGGGGCGGUCGCCUCCUAAACGGUAACGGAGGCGUACAAAGGUUUCCUCUGAACGGUUAGAAAUCGUAUCUAGUGUGUAAAGGCAUAAGGAAGCUUGACUGUGAGACCUACAAGUCGAGCAGGGACGAAAGUCGGUCUUAGUGAUCUGACGGUACUGAGUGGAAAGGCCGUCACUCAACGGAUAAAAGCUACUCUAGGAUAACAGGCUGAUCUCCCCCAAGAGUUCACAUCGACGGGGAGGUUUGGCACCUUGAUGUCGGCUCAUCGCAUCCUGGGGCGGUAGUACGUCCCAAGGGUUGGGCUGUUCGCCCAUGAAAGCGGUACGCGAGCUGGGUUCAGAACGUCGUGAGACAGUUCGGUCCAUAUCCGGUGUAGGCGUUAGAAUAUUGAGAGGAGCCUUCUUUAGUACGAGAGGACCGAGAAGGACAUACCUCUGGUGUACCAGUUAUCGUGCCAACGGUAAACGCUGGGUAGCUAUGUAUGGAGUGGAUAACCGCUGAAAGCAUCUAAGUGGGAAGCCCACCUCAAGAUAAG